UCCGUUUCGCUCGGUCGCUCGGUCGGGCGGAUUUUUUCUUUUCCGCCGGUGAGGGAAAGGAACGGACAGGGAAAGACGGGCGCCGGCGUUCCGUGACUCUGGCGCGGCGGGACGAGUCGCCCAGACUGCGCGGCUCCGCAGUUCAGCUCCGUGGCACCGCUUAUCAACGGCAGCAGCCUAAAGUAAGCAUUUUGAAAGCCCCCAAGAGUAUUCUUCAAGCAACAUGAAUGAAAAGGUUCUACCACUCGUCUACACACUAGGGGCAACUUACAACAGCUAAUCAACCUACCAACCUGCACAUCUUUGGGAUGUCGGAGGAAACCCAUGCAGUCACAGGGAGAAGGUGUGAAUUUCACGGGGAGCAGCACUGGAGGUCAGGAUUGAACCUGGAUUGUUGGCACUGAAGUAGCUGCCUUGCUAGCUGUGUUACUUUUGCCCUGAGACACCACCAAUGGACACCAGGACUUCUUAACUUAUUAGGACACAGGGAGGCUAUUUAGCCCACACUGGCUCUCAGCAGAGCAAUCCCUUCAAUCCCACUACUGCCUCCCUUACUUCUUUGUAUCUCUGCUACUUUAUUCUCACUCACAUGCCAUCAACUCCCCUUUGAUUCUUUUGCCACUUUCCUACAUUAGUGGUCAUUUACAGUGGCUAAUUAACCUAAUGCCAUGUCUUUGGGAUGUAGGAGGAAGCCAGAGUGCUGGGAGGGAACCCGUGUGGUCACAGAAAGAAUGUGCAAACGCUGCACACAAAGUACCUGAACCCAGGUCCCUGGAGCUGUGAGGCGGCAGCACUAACUGUUGCACCACUGUGCCAGCAGAAGGUAUCCUCUGAUCAUUAUGUUUUUAUUCACACAUUAGUGGGGCUGCAUUGAGGGUAGUUGGCUGUCCAGGAUAUCACAGGAUCUUAGUCUCACACGCCGGGCUUCUACCUCCUCCAAUUCACAAGUAGGACAGGAUAGACCCACUGUUUCAGUCAGUUCUUAUUCCAGACCAAAAAUAAUAUGCAGAUUGGUGGGUUAAUUAGUCACUGUUAAUUGCUACAAGUGUGUUGAAGACUGGUAGAAUCUGAGGGGAGUUGAUGGGAAUGUAGGGAGAAUAAAAUGGGAUUCGUAUAGGAUGAGCGUAAAUGGGUGCUUGAUACCGACUUGGUGGGCUGUUUCCACUCUAAUACCCACAGUUUUCUUGAUGACAUCUCCUCUCACUCUCACUCUGCUUCCUGUAGACUCCCUUCCAUUCUCCCAGUUUCUCUGGCUCCAUUGUAUCUAUUUCUGAAGCGGCCACUUUCAGUGCUUGCAGUGUGUCUUCCCUCAACUCUGGUUUCUUCACCAUCGUUGCAAAGAGGUCUCGCCCUCUCUCCUCCCACCACAAAUAAAGGUAGGGUCCAACAAAUUAUCCCCUGUAAUUUCUGACAUCUUCAAUGAAAUACCGCCACCAAACACAACUUCCCUUUCAACAUUCUGAAGGAAACAGUCACCUUGCGAUAUUCUGGUUCACUCUUCCAUCUUUGCCAACACCCACUUCCUUCUCAGGGCAACUUCUUUUACCUCUUCCCUUCCCUUUAUUCAGGCACUCAAACCUUUCAGAUGAAACAACAGUUAAUUUGCAUUUCUUCCAAAUUAGUGUACUGUAUCUGGUGCUCACAAUGAGGUCUCCACUGUAUUGGAGAGACCACCACUGGUUGGAUGACCACUUCGUAGAACACCUCCCAUUCCAUCUGCAAGGAUCACUCUGAGUUUCCAUUUGCAGCCAUUUUAAUCCUCCAUCCCACUAUAUUUGUCUGCACUAUUUCAAUGAGGCCCAUUGUAAGUUUGAGAAACGACAUCUUGUCUCCUGACUCAGCCCUCAGACAGCAAUGAUUUCAACUAUUUCAGAUUCCCAGGCUUUCCUGUUUGUGACAGAAUUGAGCAGUUUUGAUGAAAGGUCAUCAACCUGACGUUGAUAGUUUCUCUCUCCACAGACACUGCCACUAAGUAUUUCCAACAUUAUAUUUUUGUUACCCUCUCGAUGUUGGAUGUACUUUCCAUCUCUUCUGGGGAGGAUAUUUGAUUUGUAUUUCAAUUUGUCUAUUUUUGUCAUUUAUUAAUCAAACAUUUAAAUAAUUAAAAUAAAGAUUAAAAUUAAGUUUGUGAAAUUUAUGCUAUUUUAUUGCUUUAUAAAAUACCACUGUGCUACUUUAUUAUUUGAGUUAAACAUAAAUGAAUCCAAGGGAUAUAAUAAAUGAAAAGCUUACCACUAGUUCUGUUAAUGUGUGGCUUAAAAUUGUGGUGACUGUAUGGGUAUUUUUGUAGCUAUAUGAAAUUGUGUAUCGAUAUUGAGAUAAUAUAUUGUUCAUGUGUAAACAUGACUGAUUUGUGUGUAACAACAGUAUAAAUUCUGUUUGAAUGGUUGAACUAUAAAGACACAGGAGACAGCAGAUGCUGGAAUCUGGAGCAACACACCAAGUGCUGGAGGAACUGAGCAGGUAGGACAGCAUCUGUGGUGGGAAAUGUACAGCUGAUGUUUCGGGUGGAGAUCUUUCAUCUGGAUCCAGUUCAGAUGAAGCGCCUUGUCCCGAAAUGUCGACGAUCCAUUUCCAUCCAUAGAUGCUGCCUGACCCACUGAGUUCCUCUGGUGCUUUUUGUGUUGAACUUAACUAUAACCUGUCCCCAGGUUACAAACCUGACUUAUGAACACCUCCUACAUACAAACAGGCUGCAAUAAAAUUAUAUUCAAAAGUCCAAUAUACGUGCAUAU